rnacentral:tRNA from 1 species
UCCCUGGUGGCUCAGCAGUAAAGAAUCUGCCUGCAAUGCAGGAGACCUGGGUUCGAUUCCUGGGUUGGGAA